CCGGCGUCCCCGGGGGACCCCCGCGCCCCACGGAGCUGCCCCCGGGGAAGCGGCGGCUGCACCUGGCGGAGCCGACAGCAGGGAACAAAAACUUGGGGGUUUAUUUCUUUUUUUUUUUUUUCCCCCUCGUUUAGGUUCCGUAUCGGAGCAGGCUGGAAGGCUGCCGUAUACUCAGGCGUGUAAGAAGAUUAUGUCAGCAGCGGGCAGAGGACUACUGGAAGGAAAGUCCAGGAUCUGAGCAUGGGAAGAUCCCACGGUCCCAGAUUCAACUCAUUCAUUUUCUAAGACACUUGGAUAAACGCAGUCUCAUCCAGAGAGUGCCCAGCCAGCCAGCACAGCCUCUUCAAAAUCUUCAGUUCCUGAAUCCCCAGCUUCCUUCACUGAAGGCAGAAGAAAGUGCCUAGCGUUCUCCAAGAUAGCGCUCAUUUUAGUGAGGCACAGAAAUAUCAUCCUGCAUCCAUUCCCAGAACAAAGCCACAUCUUUUAGUGCCGUUUCGCUUGCAUUUAAGUUCUGUAUAAGGGAUAAUGGCAGUUUUUCUUGAUGCUUUAAUUUCAAAUCAAGAAAAUGUUUCUUUUUUUAGUUCUGAAAAGCAACAGCCGGAAGCUUAAGACGUUUGAAACUUCUCUUGGGGUACAUGUCAUUUUCUAAAGGUGUAUUUGAAUAUAGAAAAGAUUUGUCAGAUGAUCAAAUGAGGUGGACGUUAUGGAAGGUAGAAUAAAUUGUUAUUAUAGAGAAUUGCGUUUUCUUUU
rnacentral:lncRNA from 1 species